GACGAACGCUGGCGGCGUGCUUAACACAUGCAAGUCGAACGGAAAGGCCCUGCUUUUGUGGGGUGCUCGAGUGGCGAACGGGUGAGUAACACGUGAGUAACCUGCCCUUGACUUUGGGAUAACUUCAGGAAACUGGGGCUAAUACCGGAUAGGAGCUCCUGCUGCAUGUUGGGGGUUGGAAAGUUUCGGCUGUUGGGGAUGGAUUCGCGGCUUAUCAGCUUGUUGGUGGGGUAGUGGCUUACCAAGGCUUUGACGGGUAGCCGGCCUGAGAGGGUGACCGGCCACAUUGGGACUGAGAUACGGACCAGAAGGCUACGGGAGGCAGCAGUGGGGAAUAUUGCACAAUGGGCGGAAGCCUGAUGCAGAAACGCCGCGUGCGGGAUGACGGCCUUCGGGUUGUAAACCGCUUUCGCCUGUGACGAAGCGUGAGUGACGGUAAUGGGUAAAGAAGCACCGGCUAACUACGUG
rnacentral:rRNA from 1 species